UACGUAGGGGGCAAGCGUUGUCCGGAAUCAUUGGGCGUAAAGCGCGUGUAGGCGGCCCGGUAAGUCCGCUGUGAAAGUCGGGGGCUCAACCCUCGGAUGCCGGUCGAUACUGUCGGGCUAGAGUGCGGGAGAGGCGAGUGGAAUUCCUGGUGUAGCGGUGAAAUGCGCAGAUAUCAGGAGGAAUACCGGUGGCGAAGGCGGCUCUCUGGUCCAAUAUUGACGCUGAGAAACGAAAGUGCGGGGAUCAAACAGG
rnacentral:rRNA from 1 species